rnacentral:snRNA from 1 species
AUGCUCACUUCAGCAGCACAUAUAUUACAAUUUCAGCCAUACAGAGAAGAUUAUUAGCAUGGCCCCUGUGCAAGGAUCACACGCAAAUUCAUGAAGUGUUCCAUAUUUUU